GACGAACGCUGGCGGCGUGCCUAAUACAUGCAAGUCGAACGAGUGGCGGACGGGUGAGUAACACGUGGGAACCUACCCAUCAGAGGGGGAUAACACUUGGAAACAGGUGCUAAUACCGCAUAUUGAUGGAUGGACCCGCGGUGCAUUAGCUAGUGGGGGAGGUAACGGCUCACCUAGGCUACGCUCUCUAGCUGGUCGGAGCGGAUGACCAGCCAGACUGGGACUGAGACACGGUCCAGACUCCUACGGGAGGCAGGAGUGGGGAAUAUUGCACAAUGGGCGCAAGCCUGAUGCAGCCAUGCCGGGUGUAUGAAGAAGGCCUUCGGGUUGUAAAGUACUUUCAGCGGGGAGGCGUUACCCGCAGAAGAAGCACCGGCUAACUCCGUGCCAGCAGCCGCGGUAAUUC
rnacentral:rRNA from 1 species